CUAAGACGACAUACGUGAAAUUACUAAUAAAGAACCUAAUAUCAAAAACAACUUGACUUCAACUUAAAACAGACACCACCCUACAAUGACAGAAACAUAAAAGACUCAAACUAAAUAAAGAUAAGAAAUGCUCUUUCAGACUGGUGCACUGCAUGAUGACCCUGGCUGAGAUGGCCCUGCCUGUGAAGUUCUCUUUCUCCCAUUCAAACUUUGUAGCAUAUCCUAUAAAGACACCCUGAUAUUAGGGAAGAAGCUUCGGGCCCGUAUUCCUGCCUCAUGAGGAGUGCACUUGGAAAGAUUAUUCUGA
rnacentral:lncRNA from 1 species